rnacentral:rRNA from 1 species
AGAUUGAACGCUGGCGGCAUGCUUUACACAUGCAAGUCGAACGGUAACAGGCCGCAAGGCGCUGACGAGUGGCGAACGGGUGAGUAAUGCAUCGGAACGUGCCCAGUCGUGGGGGAUAACGCAGCGAAAGCUGUGCUAAUACCGCAUACGAUCUAUGGAUGAAAGCGGGGGACCGAAAGGCCUCGCGCGAUUGGAGCGGCCGAUGUCAGAUUAGCUAGUUGGUGGGGUAAAGGCCCACCAAGGCGACGAUCUGUAGCUGGUCUGAGAGGACGACCAGCCACACUGGAACUGAGACACGGUCCAGACUCCUACGGGAGGCAGCAGUGGGGAAUUUUGGACAAUGGGCGCAAGCCUGAUCCAGCAAUGCCGCGUGCAGGAAGAAGGCCUUCGGUUGUAAACUGCUUUUGUACGGAACGAAACGGUCGUGGGUUAAUACCUCGGCUAAUGACGGUAACCGUAAGAAAUAAGACACCGGACUAACUACGUGUCCAGCAAGCCGUA